AUAUAGAUGCCGCCAAAAAGAAUGUUUAAGCAUGUGCUACCCAUAGCAUCUUCUACUCCUCGAAGCUCGAGCAAUCGAAGCCCAUCUCCUCAUGGACAAGGGCAGCAGUCUAAUCCAUCAGUUUCUCCUAUUUCGAUACCUUCAACAGCUCAUUUCGGUGUUAACACGACAACUUAAUCCAGUGUAGAUCCUACAACUCAAUGUACCCCUGGCCAGGACGCAUCCAAUGGUUUGCAUUUAAUGCAACUAUAAAUUAUUGUGACCCGAAUUCUUGCUUUUGAUUAAAAUUAAUUUUCUUCAAAUAUUUUUUAGGUCCUCUUCAUAAAAAAACUCAUGGACUUAGUCGCGGACUGGCUUCACAAAAAUUUGGGCUCUGGUGGUUUGAUACCGUCAUGGGUAUUCUUUUAGAAAUGCACCUACUCAUAUGACAAUACUCCUAUUAUCUAAUAUUGGUGACUGAAAUGUGGAUUGUGUAAUUAAUGAAGACCCAGAUUUCUAGAACAUUAUGCACUGAAUCUGUAUAUAUUUUGGGUUUUCUGUUCCAACUAUUACUUUUGUUAACAUUAAAAGAUGCUAUUUACAGUAAUGAAGCAAUUUUUGAGGAAUGUAGAUGUUUAGUUAUUAUUUAUUCUAUGUUAUUUCCUCUCAGACUCUACACAUCUUGGCAUCUAUGGAAGUUCUCUGGAUGUAACUGAUGAUAGAAUUUUCUUCUUGAGACAUGCAUUUGUACUUCAGUUUUUUCCAUGUAUUUUCUGAUUAUGUGUUGACAAAAUUAUGCAGGGUGGGAUGCUGGUCUAUAUUUGCGAUCAUGACACAUCACCUCCAGGUCUUAUAUUCAAUAAAAUCUAAUUAAUUUUAGUUUCUGCUAGUAAAUGUUGCAUUUAUUGUGAUGGGUCGGAGUGGUCUUUGUUUGCACGUGGAAAAUAGCACGGACAUUCGGGCAAUCCCAUUUGACUGAGUUGCUACUCUCUGCCUAUGCUUAUCACUUUCAUAUUACUAUACUGGGCCUGAAACUUCAGUCUUGAGUUAUAAUCUUUUUUUGAUUGUUCUAGUGUCACCAUAUUCAUUAGUUAAUCCUUAUAUGCAUUUUUGAGAAAUCAGUUGCAGAA
rnacentral:lncRNA from 1 species